rnacentral:misc_RNA from 1 species
GCUUUUAACGCUUAAUCCGUUUGCAAAACUCACAUCUGAUGACUUUUCCGGUGAUACCCCGUCGUGGACCCUCCAAUUCGUCGGGUCAUUCGAUUCCUACUCAUUUCCUUCGUCGCCGUCUCAGGCUCGGCUUAGAGUACACGAGAAUGUGAAACGCUAUGCUCGGAAUUAUGCCUCCCUCUUUGUCCUCUUCUUUGCUUGCUCUCUGUACCAAAAGCUGUUUGCCCUUGUUGGGUUGAUAUCAUGUUUGGCACUUUGGGAUGUAUUAAAGUUAUGUGGAGAUCGCUGGGGAUUAGAGCACCGCCCAGUUAUCAAACAAAGCUUGAUUCGCAUUGCUCAGUGUGCUACUGCAGUUAUUCUAUUCUGUACCAACGUUCAAAUGGCUCUCUUCUCAGCUCUUGCGGUCAGUUAUGUAGUGAUGAUUCUGCAUGCCUCAUUUAGGAAGCUGACCCCCUCAAAACAAUCAACUUCAAAAGAAGUGAACAGGAGGGUCCUUAGAAGUUGAUGAGUGGUUAUUAUUGUCAAGUCAUACAAUCACAUAGUCGUUGCCUGGAGAGAGGGUUAACCGUGUUUACAAACUAUAGCAUUCGAGUCUGGCUCAUGAGUGCAUCUCUCCAUAUGAAACGGAGAAUUCUUCGAGUCACAAUGUAAGAAAAGUUUCUUCUUUAAUUUGAUUUUUUUUUAGGAUGUGUGUAUGUGUCUGUACAAUGGAAAAAAAAAAGACUAGAUAAGAUUUCAGAUGGGUGUAGAACCCUAAAGAGAAUUGGCACUGCUAAGGC